rnacentral:rRNA from 1 species
AUGGGAACGCGAAGAACCUUACCUAGACUUGACAUCUUCUGCAUUAAUCGUAAUGGAUGAAAUCCCUUCGGGGACAGAAUGACAGGUGGUGCAUGGUUGUCGUCAGCUCGUGUCGUGAGAUGUUGGGUUAAGUCCCGCAACGAGCGCAACCCUUAUUACUAGUUGCUACCAUUAAGUUGAGCACUCUAGUGAGACUGCCCGGGUUAACCGGGAGGAAGGCGGGGAUGACGUCAAAUCAUCAUGCCCCUUAUGUCUAGGGCAACACACGUGCUACAAUGGUGAGUACAGAUAGAUGCGAUACCGCAAGGUGGAGCCAAACUCUAAAACUCAUCCCAGUUCGGAUUGUAGGCUGCAACUCGCCUACAUGAAGUUGGAGUUGCUAGUAAUCGCGAAUCAGAAUGUCGCGGUGAAUACGUUCCCGGGUCUUGUACACACCG